UAAUAGUUUUAUUCUUGCUAUUUCGUUCAGUUUACUUUUGUUCUAUAUGUAAGUUUUUGCGUGUUUGUCCUUUUUUCUAGAUGGAGAUGGUGGGGUGUUUGAUUUAUUUUCAUUAGUUAUUAUUGGUUGGUUUAUAAGUGGUUUUGUAUCCAGUAAUUUGUUUUAGUUUCGGUUAAAUUUUGUGCCAGCAGCCGCGGUUAUACCUUGGAGGCGUUUGAACGUGUUUGGUUUGGUAGUUUUAUGUUUUAUUUGUUGAUUUUCGUUUGUUUAGUUUGUUUAGGUGAAAUUUUUAUUUUUAUUAAUUUUUGUUUGUUGUUUGGAGGCUAUGAAGCUUUUGUUUUAAACUAGGAUUAGAUACCCUAUUAUUUUGAGUGUUAAUUUUUUUUUACCUGAGUAGUAUUAGUUACGUUCUUGAAACUUAAAGAAUUUGGCGGUAUCUUAUUCCAUUCAGAGGAAUCUGUCUCGUUAUCGAUAGUCCGCGUUGGACCUUACUUGGAGUUGUUAGUGGUUUGUAUACCGCCGUUUAUUGAUUAUCUUUUUAGAGGUUUAAAAUUUUCUGGUUUCUUUAUUGUGAUUUAUUACAGGUCAAGGUGCAGCUUUUUCUAAGUGUAUGAUGGAUUACAGUGUUAUUUGUUGUUUGGAUUGUUUGUUUUAAUAUGGGCAUGAAAUUGGAUUUGGUUGUAAUGUUUUGUAGAUUGUUUUUAUGAUAUUGGUUCUGAGAUAUGUACACAUCGCCCGUCGCUCUCGUUUAGUUUUUGUUAAUGAGAUAAGUCGUAACAGAGUGGUCGUACCGGAAGGUGCGGCUGGAAUGGU
rnacentral:ncRNA from 1 species